UAAUAAAAGUGUUUUAUGGCGCUUUUCAAACAAAUCCAUAUCCACCUUGUGUGCAAUGUUAUUUUUUUUUUAAAUAAACACUUUAAUUUUUUAAUUGCCAAUUUAUCUGAAGAUCAGUAUUAUUACGAAUUAACUUAAUUCAAAAUA
rnacentral:misc_RNA from 1 species